ensembl:rRNA 5S_rRNA 5S ribosomal RNA
GGCCCUGGCCCUAUCAGCCUGAAGGCGCCCGAUCUCGUCUAAUCUCGGAAGCUAAGCAGGGUCGGGCCUGGUUAGUAUCUUGGAUGGGAGACCACCUGGGAAUCCCGGGUGCUCGAGGCU